AAAUUGAAGAGUUUGAUCAUGGCUCAGAUUGAACGCUGGCGGCAGGCCUAACACAUGCAAGUCGAGCGGUAGCACAGAGAGCUUGCUCUCGGGUGACGAGCGGCGGACGGGUGAGUAAUGUCUGGGAAACUGCCUGAUGGAGGGGGAUAACUACUGGAAACGGUAGCUAAUACCGCAUAAUGUCGCAAGACCAAAGUGGGGGACCUUCGGGCCUCAUGCCAUCAGAUGUGCCCAGAUGGGAUUAGCUAGUAGGUGGGGUAACGGCUCACCUAGGCGACGAUCCCUAGCUGGUCUGAGAGGAUGACCAGCCACACUGGAACUGAGACACGGUCCAGACUCCUACGGGAGGCAGCAGUGGGGAAUAUUGCACAAUGGGCGCAAGCCUGAUGCAGCCAUGCCGCGUGUGUGAAGAAGGCCUUCGGGUUGUAAAGCACUUUCAGCGGGGAGGAAGGCGGUAAGGUUAAUAACCUCAUCGAUUGACGUUACCCGCAGAAGAAGCACCGGCUAACUCCGUGCCAGCAGCCGCGGUAAUACGGAGGGUGCAAGCGUUAAUCGGAAUUACUGGGCGUAAAGCGCACGCAGGCGGUCUGUCAAGUCGGAUGUGAAAUCCCCGGGCUCAACCUGGGAACUGCAUUCGAAACUGGCAGGCUAGAGUCUUGUAGAGGGGGGUAGAAUUCCAGGUGUAGCGGUGAAAUGCGUAGAGAUCUGGAGGAAUACCGGUGGCGAAGGCGGCCCCCUGGACAAAGACUGACGCUCAGGUGCGAAAGCGUGGGGAGCAAACAGGAUUAGAUACCCUGGUAGUCCACGCCGUAAACGAUGUCGAUUUGGAGGUUGUGCCCUUGAGGCGUGGCUUCCGGAGCUAACGCGUUAAAUCGACCGCCUGGGGAGUACGGCCGCAAGGUUAAAACUCAAAUGAAUUGACGGGGGCCCGCACAAGCGGUGGAGCAUGUGGUUUAAUUCGAUGCAACGCGAAGAACCUUACCUGGUCUUGACAUCCACAGAACUUUCCAGAGAUGGAUUGGUGCCUUCGGGAACUGUGAGACAGGUGCUGCAUGGCUGUCGUCAGCUCGUGUUGUGAAAUGUUGGGUUAAGUCCCGCAACGAGCGCAACCCUUAUCCUUUGUUGCCAGCGGUUCGGCCGGGAACUCAAAGGAGACUGCCAGUGAUAAACUGGAGGAAGGUGGGGAUGACGUCAAGUCAUCAUGGCCCUUACGACCAGGGCUACACACGUGCUACAAUGGCAUAUACAAAGAGAAGCGACCUCGCGAGAGCAAGCGGACCUCAUAAAGUAUGUCGUAGUCCGGAUUGGAGUCUGCAACUCGACUCCAUGAAGUCGGAAUCGCUAGUAAUCGUAGAUCAGAAUGCUACGGUGAAUACGUUCCCGGGCCUUGUACACACCGCCCGUCACACCAUGGGAGUGGGUUGCAAAAGAAGUAGGUAGCUUAACCUUCGGGAGGGCGCUUACCACUUUGUGAUUCAUGACUGGGGUGAAGUCGUAACAAGGUAACCGUAGGGGAACCUGCGGUUGGAUCACCUCCUUACCUUAAAGAA
rnacentral:rRNA from 1 species